rnacentral:rRNA from 1 species
CACGUAGGGCGCAAGCGUUUGUCCGGAAUUAUUGGGCGUAAAGAGCUCGUAGGCGUCUGUUGCGUCCGCUGUGAAAACUCGGGGCUUAACCCCGAGCCUGCAGUGGAUACGGGCAGACUAGAGGUAGGUAGGGGAGAAUGGAAUUCCCGGUGUAGCGGUGAAAUGCGUAGAUAUCUGGAGGAACACCGGUGGCGAAGGCGGCAUUCUGGACUGCAACUGACACUGAUGAACGAAAGCCAGGGGAGCAAACGGG